rnacentral:lncRNA from 1 species
CACAAUACAUUGAUAUACUCAAGAGGUAUUUAGUAAGUAUUUUAUAAUUAUGAAGGGUUUUAAAAUUUUAAAAAUGCUUAAACUAUGUAAUUACUUGUAUGAGAGUAAAAACUUUAUAUCCUAUAGAUAUAUCAAAUCAUAUCCUAUUUUUUAGAUGUAAAGAGAGAAAAAAAAAAAUAUGGUUGAAACUCGGAAGUUCGUUUAUAUUCUGAUUCUACUUAUUUCCAUAUUUCUUUUCAUAAUAAUAUGUGAUUCUACAUAUAUACCAAUUACUCGUACUUGUAUAACGGAUAAAGAUUGUCCAAGUUGGAAAAAUUAUACUGGUAGGUGUCGUAAAGGCUUCUGCAUAUUGAACAGAGACAGAUGAAGGAGUUCUUGCUCGAGAAAAAGAAUUGCAAUUUUUUUUUAUGCUAGAAUAUUCGAGGAGUUGUCAAUAAGUUUUUGUGCAUGCAACAAAUAAUUGUAUUUAUUUUUUCUUUUCAAAUUUCAUGGACUUCGCAGUUUUGAUUUUCACUACUAUGAAAAGCAAAAUUAGGGAGAAUUAGUGACGGAAAAUAUAAAAUUCCUCACAAAUUCCUCGAUCUUAAAAUUUACUGAAGGAAUUAGAGAGAGAUUUCAUGUUUUUCCUCACUAAUUUUUGUUUUUUUCGUUGUGAUUUGUACUCUAAGAUGAUGGUUAUAAAAUAAAAUAAAAUAAGGCGGAAAAUUAUUUUACUUAUAGGGUAUCCUUAUCUCAUAAAUUUGAUGGUAUCAACAUGACCUAGAUUUCAUACAUAUAACAUAUGUAGGGUCAAAAAAAUUUAUCAACACAUUAGGUCAUAGUAUAUACACUACAACUUGUGGGAUUUCGCACGUGUCGGUGAUAAAAACUAAUCAAGACCUAACUGGAAUGGAGUCGAACUUUAUAGACACACCCGUUGUGUUUUAUCCUUUGUGUUUGAUGUGAGUUUAAUUAAAAAAUUGUCUGUGAAAUAUGAUUCUCUUUAUGGGGAAUGAUUCCUCAUUUUCAUUUUAAUUUUCAAAAUUGAGUAAGAGAGCCUCUCCUUGACUGUUGUGUUAUGUAUCCUCUCUUUCUCUUUUUAAUCCUUUUCAUUAUAUUUGUUUGGGUUAAAUAUGUUUUAGGUUGAUAUAAAUAUUCAGAAUUUCGUUUUUAUUUCUGAUAAAAUAAAACUUCUUCUUUAGUCCUUGUACAAUUUUUCAUCAUCAUUUUUAGUUCAUGUAAAUUUUCCAUCAACAUUUUGUCUCUUAAAUUGCUAAAGAAAAAUGUUAAGAGAACAUAAAAAUGUGAUUAUUUUAUAGGAAUUAAAAAUAAAAUUCUAAAUAUUUAUUGGGAUCAAAAACAUAUUUAACCCUGUUUGUUUUGACGCAAUAAUAAUAAUUUUUUUCACAACUCAAAACCGUUCAGACCCAUCUGCUAGUGUUUGUACUAGCUGCGUGCUUGCUUAAAGCUUUUUCGUUCGCAUGAUAGUGUGUACUAGGAGGUUGGUUUAGGGUUUAUACCAAAAAAAAAAAAGAAUGAUGACAAAGGCUAUCAAAAAGUUGUGUUGGCUUGGAUCAAAUAUACAUGAUUUACCUUUCUCACAUAUUUAUUCCCUAUAUUAAUGUUGGAUUCCAUUUUCUUCAUUGCUUUAUUGUCACUUUUUCGAUGCUUCACCCUUCUAACUUGUAGUUGAGUCAAUUGAUCCAACUUCCAUGGAGAGGGUGUUCUUCAAACAAAAUGGAAAUGGAAAAAAUAAAGUGAUGCAAAAAUGUAAGGAAAUAGUAUUAAAGGCCACUUUGAAAUUUUCCUUUUUAAUAAGUAGUCUAUUCUCAAUAUAUAUUUUUCAAUAAUUGUGAAUUGACCAGACUAACAUAGAACAUGAUUUAUAAAACAACACUAAAAUCAUGUUAUAGCAAAUUCUAGUAAAAAACAGAAAAUUGCUAGAGCAACCAGAAGAUGCCCUGCAGAAAACAUCCCCAAGUAACAAAUGUAACAAUAAAAUCCUUUAACAAUCUCUCAAGAGUUGUGCAUUUUCCAAGUAUAAAAGAUUAACAUGGAUGAGACAACUGAAAAAGAUCAAAACAAUUUUAAAAGACAAAAAAUUGUAAAUAAGGAGAAUGAACUCUAAGAGGCCAAGAGAUAUCCAAAUGGAUAAACUACAAAUCCAAAGCACAAAAGGAAAACUGAUAAACACAUUACUUAUGGUUAAUACGUACCAAACCCUAAGUAAAUAGAUUCAAAAUAAUUAGAAAUAUAAAAGUACAAUGCGCAUAGCUUAACAUUUUCCCAUGGUUUUUCUAGCAGUUCUUCAACUUUCACAAAAGUAUGACAACAAAAAUAUAUCCAUUUAGUGUCUUUGAAUUUUAGCAAAUACUAAAACCCAAAAAAGGUAUGAAAUUUUAUAAAACAAAAGAAGUAUAGUUUCAAUUCAUCUAUGAUGUAUACUAACUAAUUACUACUAAAGACAGAAAAACCAUUUUUAUGAUUGAAAGUCUGAUGCUUUGAUUGAAUUUUGAAAGGAGAAAAUGGAGAGCAAUCAGUAACAAAAGGCAACACGUGUUAGUAACAAUCAAUUCCAUUUUAUUCCCUUGAAGAGACACGUUGCUAGCUGAAAAGUGAUUGCAUUUGCAUCAAUAAAAUCAUUACCUGAAAUAAAGCUCAUUCAGAUUACGUUGUUCCUCAAUUACUUUUAGUUAGAAAUAAAAUCAAAUGCUAUGAUAAAUAUGAGAAUAUGAACACUACUAGGAAAAGCAAAAUUAGGGAGGGAAAUUUGUGACGGAAAACAUAAAAUUCCUCACAAAUUUCUUGGUCGCAAAAUUUAGUGACGGAAUUAGAGAGGAAUUUCAUAUUUUCCCUCACUAAUUUUUGUUUUUUUAGUAGUGGAAGCAAAGAAAACCUAGAAUAAUCAAUAAAGAAAAAGAAAAGCACAUGUCCCAUUAGAAGAAAACGUUGAAAACCAUUACGUAGUUUUGCUUCUUGCUAUUGGAAUUUGUAGAGAAUGAAAUAUUCAAAAUAACCAUUAAAUAUUAUUAGUAACAAAUUAAUAAAUAAAAAAAAUUAAAACACAAUUAAGGAAAUAUUUCUACUAAUAGAAACUUUAAAAGAAGUAAUCACUCUUAUUUGCUGACAAAUGGCAUACUUGUCAAAAUACUUAGUUUGCUUUAUUAUUAUCUAUAGAUUAUUAAAUCAUAUGUGUACAUCACAUGAGAGGGGACUAAGAAUUAUUCAAUUAAGGACCUCCUUGGCUAUACAUAAGAGAAGGUAAGGGAUCACCUUUCUUAAUCACAACCUAUAGAAGCAUGCAAAAUAGUACUAAUCUAGUUGCAAAAAUUAUCAUUAAAACCAAAGCAAAUCAGCACUUUUAAGUAGAUAUUUCCAAUCUAAUGUAUCAAAGGCUUUUCAAAUGUUAAUUUUGAGGAAAAAUUUGCAAUGAAAAGAACUUUGGUUUAGCAUAUUGAUAACUUCAGAUGUCAGACAAAUGUCAUCACUAAUGUUUCUACUUUAGAUGAAAAUAUUGAAUUUGAAUUUGGCCAAGGUUAUAAGACUUUUAGGAAUUAAAACCACAUUGUUGGAAUUGUAGAUAGGAAUUAACCAAUCAUUUUUGAAGAAUUGAGAAAUUGCAUUGAAGGCUCCUAAUAUUUCUCAAAGAAGAAGGCUCCUAAACCAUUUGGACUUGGUGCUCCUUCUCUAUUCAUGUCAAAAAUUGCUUGCUUUACUUCUUCACAACUGAGAAGAUUAGUGAACACUGCAUUCAUAGUGUUGUCAACGGAGAAGAUUCCCAAAUAUGUGUUUCCUCCAAUCUCUAAGCUUGACUUUGAGAUUCUUCAGCGUAAUAUGUAAAAUAUACUAACUAUUUCAUGAUUAAGCGUAUAUACACACCCUGUGUGCUGAUUCUGACGAUGAUUGAUCUCAUAUUUUUGUUUAUUGACAUUGAGGUCAAUGUAGGUUUUAAGUUCGGGGGAGGAAUUUCCCACUUUAACUGCUUAGUUUAAUUGUCGAGUCUGAUAAAUAAUUGUGUUUGAUGUGCUAUCGAGUCAAUAAUGCAUGUGUUUUUGCUUUUGUUGUUAGAUUUCCCAAUUCUUGAAUCAAAUAUUUUUUUUGAAAGGCUUAGAAUUUAUAGUGUCACUUAGAAAGCAUAUAGAUUUCAGAGGUAGCGAGGUUAAGGAUACCGGGUAAAAUUUCAAAAAAAAAAUCGGUGUUGUUCCAACACCUAAAUAUCCCGAAUAUGGAUCCUAACUUAAAUAAACAUUGUACUAUAGUCUUGAAUUUUUAUUUCUUAGUAGUCCUCAUGUAGUUUAUAUCUUGUUGGACACCAUCUAUAGUCACACAAUAAGUAGGUUAGUCGAUGAAUAUAAGCGAAAAAUAAAUAAUGGGAUCAGUUAUGGUUAAACCUUGAAAAAUAGAAAUAAGAAAUCCAUCUAUGCUAAAACGCUAACCGGUUUUCCUACGAUUUAUGUGACAAUAAUAUAGAUACUCAAGGGUCUUAGUGUGACUAUCUCGAAUGAAAGAGGAUGAACAAGAUAAGGGUAAGAGACUAAGAUACAACGAGAUGAUUUAAGUUAGUAUGCUAGGAGGGAGAGUUUUGUCGGCAAAAUGUGGUUUGUAUUGUUACAAUACCCUUGGUGUUGAUUCUAGUACCUAGAGAAUUAAUCUUUGACCGAUUCAACUUUGGAACCACGCAUUAGUAUUUGUGGGGUUAUUCUUCCACGAGUCCUUGUAUUUGUGAUGUUAUUCUUCCAUGAGUCCUUUUAUGUUCAGUUGCUACCUUUAAUUUUUUCCAUUUGCAAGCUAAAUUGCUUUAGGACAAGCAAUUGUUCAAGUGUAGGGGACUUUGAUAACACACAAAAUACAUUGUCUAAAUAGCUUGAUAUCCAUUUGUUUUAGAGUCAAUUAUUGUGUCUUGCAUGGUUACUGCUGGGGUUUUCCUUGCGUCACAGGUACUUGUUGUGUCUAAAUUUUUUAUAUGAUCCAACUUUUGGUGCACAUCUCCUUCAUGAUUUAAGGAGUUUUCCGUUCCAAAAUUAGGCUAUAAAAAAACCCAAACACUCAGUUAUGUACCUUUUUGCUACCGUAUAAUGUUAUAACCUUGAGAGCUUCAAUUUUGAUUAUUAUUUGAUUAUGGGCUCGUUUGGAUUGAGCUGAUUUUGAGCUUAUGGAAAACAACUUACUCCGUAUUAUUUUUAUUUAUUAACUUUCCCUGUUGCUGCGAUUAAUAACUGCUGUUCCAAUUCUAUUCCAAUCAUUCGAUUUGCUGUUGUUGUGGCUAUUCGCUUUUUAAUUUCGACUAUCCAUAAAUUAACAGGUUUUAUUCUCUUUGCUAUUUCUUAAUAUGAAUUCAUAAAAAAUAGGUAUAGAUUAUUGUUUCAACAUGUGUGAGUAGUUUUCAUAGGGUCUGGAAUGCGAGGAUCGUUACACAAAUGCUACUCUAAUAAAUUGCAUGUUAUAUAUUUGAAACAGAUGUAUAUUUUUAGUCCAAAAAUUAUGUUUUUUAAAUUAAAAGUUUACUACGAAAGUAGAACCUUGAUACUGAUUUGCACCAAAUAGUGAAUAAAAAAAGCAUUAGACUUUAGAAAAUUCGGAAAUUAAUAUUUUAAAAAAAAUUUAUUUAGAAAAGGAGAUUUUAGAAUUAUAAUCGUGCACGCGAAAGCUGGUGGUUAUUAGUUUAAAAUACAGAAACAAGCGCGUGAAAGCACAGUACCUUUAAAUUGGUUUUCUACUAAAAAUUACUCUUUCCAAGUAUGAAUUAACUAUUUUUCAAAACAGGACUUCGAAGUUGUAAUUCGUACCAUGCAAAAGCGGACAAUUACAAAGUUCAAUUUCUAAAACCUCCUACAUAAAGUAAGCGGUAUCUUUAACUUAAUUUUUCCCGCAAAGAAAAUUAUCUUGGUUUAAUUAUAAAAGCAUUGUUUUUUGAGUAUCAUCGGUCGACGAGAACAACAUUCCGGCUCCUCAUUGUUAAUAUUAAAUUUAUUAUUUUAUUUUUACGUGCGAAACAAAUAGUUUUUGAAUUAAUCUUAGAUAAACAAAGAAACAACCGAUAGCAGUACUUAAGAGUUGGUUUGUGUGGAUUCGACAACAAUAUAACGAAUAAUAUUAAUUCUUAUUUUCUUGAAUGACACCAACAAAAUAAAAUUCUUAAAGUCAAAUUUAUUUAAGGAUAAAAUCGAAAGUGAAAAAGUCAAUCAAAAACAAUGUAUCUUCUCUUUAUAUAUAGUAUAGAUGAAGUGAUCAAAUCAUAUUCUAUUUGUUGCAUGUGUAAGGAAUAAUUAAUAUACUAAAACUUAACAAUUCUUUUAUUUCAACUUUAGCUAUGUUGAAUCUGUGAUGUUUUCAAUAUACUAUACCAAUUUGAAAAAAGAGUUAGGGUCCGUUUGGUUCAACGAAGGGGAGGGGAGGGGAGGGGUUUUAAUGGAGGGGGGGGAAAGGGAGGGAAGGGAAGGGGAGAUAUUUCAAUUAAAUAUAUGUUUGGUUCAAAUGAUGGAAGGGAAGGGGAGGGGAGAGAUUUUAAUCAAAUAUAUGUUUGGUUCACAAGGGGAGGGGAGGGAUUUUAAAACUAAAUUACUUUUUUAUCCCUAUAAUAUUAAAAUAGUAUCACGAUUUUUAAAUUAUCCACUUCAUAAAAAAUUAAACAUGAAAACUUAGUAACCGUAAACGCCAUAAAUAAUCAUACACAAAACUUCUGACAAGAUAUUGGGUAUUCAUAAAUAUUAGAGCACUGAUUUAUAAAAUAUAUUUAUAAAAUAAUCUACGAAAAUAUAAAAAUAUUUAUAAAAAAAUUAUUGUUAGAACUGAUUUAUAAAAUAUAUUUAUAAAAAAAACAGCACAAAAUUUGUUGAUAAUGUUUUAAUAUAUAAUACAAUUAAAAAAUAUUAAAUAAAAAAAUGAGAACAACGUUAGUACAAAAAAAAAAUUCUCGUAAAAAAAAUAUUAGAAGAAAAGAAUACGUGGUUCUACUUAAAAAAAAUAAAAAAAGGAUGAUAUAUGCAUGUUAAGGAAAAAGGGUAAUAAGUAGUAUAUUGAAACACUUAAAUUUUAAAUAAGGACGAUUUUGUCAUUUAAAAAUGAAUAUGAGGAUAAUUAUGUCAAUAUAAUUAAAAUUGCAUUAAAUCAUUUAUCUUUCCCUCCUCUCCCCUCCAAAAAACUCCAAUUUGAGGGGGAGCAAUAAAUGAACUUAUAAGGGAUUUUGCUCCCCUUCCUCUCCCUCCCCUCCCCUUCUAAAAAUUGAACCAAACACAAUAAAUUUAAAAUAUUCCCUCCCCUCCCCAUCAAAACCCCCGAACCAAACGGACCCUUAGAUAAAAACUAAUCUUCAACUUAACUAUUAAAGUGAUUCUUUUAGGUGGUUUUUUUGUUUAAACCAAAAAGGAGAGCAGCAAAGAACUGCUACCUCAAAAGCUUAGAUACAUGGAGAAGGGGUGAUACUGUCAAAUUUACGAGAUAAAAAUACCCUAUAAAUAAAACAAUUUUUUUCUUAUUUCAUUUUCAUCAUAGAGUGCAUAAUCAUAACUUCGAGGUCCAUUAAAUUUGAAAAAGAAAUACAAUUAUUUGGUGCAUGCACAAAAACUUAAUGGCAGCUCCUCUAAUAUUCUAGCAUAAUGUAUAAAUUGCAAUUCUUUUUCUAGAGCAAGAAUUCAUUCAUCUCAGUAUUGAAGAUACUGGCAAUAGCCUUUACGACACCUAGCAUUAUAAUUUUUCACUCGUGAACAAUCUUUAUCAGUUAUACAAGAACGAGAAAGUGGUAAAUAAGCAGAAUCACAUACUAUCAUAACAAGAAAUAUGCAAAUAAAUAGAAUUAGAAUAUAAACAAACUUCAAAGUUUUAACCAUUUUUUCUCUCUUUGCAUCUUAAAAAUAAGAUAUGAUUUGAUAUAUUUAUAGUCUAUAAAGUUUAUAGUCUCAUACAAAUAAUUUAUUUACAUAGUUUCUGCAUUUUUAAAAUUUUAAAACCCUUCAUAAUAUUAUAAUACUUACCAAAUGCCUAUUGAAUAUAUGAGUGUGUUGUGGUUAUCCUUUUCACGCUUAGAAAAAAGGUUCAAUUAAUAAACUUGAUCCAUAACAAUAAAAUAUUAUUUAACUAAUAGCUUUUCAUUAUACUUUCUCCUUAAAAAAAAGUUCUUUACUUUUUAACCUUUCUUGACAAUAAAGAGAAAAAUAUAUAUAUGUUGUACUAUGGUAAAAUUAUCAACGGACAUAAUUCAUCAUUGAAAUGUGAACAUAUUUAUGCCCAAGUAGAAUGGACAUAGGAUCAAUUUAUUUUUUUAUUUUCAUUUGAUCAUAAAGAAUGUAGGACAUUUCCUUCACAAGAAUGUGAUAUUUCUAUAUCUUUUUCUGAAUGAAUCUCUAACUCCAAAAUGUCUCUAUUUAUAGAGAAACUUGUGUCCUUUCGAUAAAGAUAAACAACUCUUUAAAAGAGUUCGUUCAAGAUUAGUUACGAUGCUUUAAUGAUCUAGCAUUACACCCUUUUACUAACAGGUCUCUUUUAACCAUUGCAACUUUCAUAAUUUAUAUUUUGGAUAUUAUUCUCACAAUUAAUAAAAAUAAUUUUCUCUUUAAUUCUUUCAAUGUUAAAGUGGAUAUUGCAAUAGUUUUGUUUUACUGUAAUUUUAAUCAUUUACAAGAUGUAGCAACCAAUUUCAGUUUUUUUAUAUUCCUUGUAAUUUAUGAAAUAAUUUCUGUUAAAAUUGUUUGUGGCUUACCAUUUAUAUUUUACUUUGGUCCUAUUGGUAUUGAUUGGUAGUUUAAGUCCUAAAUCGUUUGAGGUAGCAUGGCAGAGGAGCUAUGUAAAUGUUUUCAUAGGAUCGUUGUUCAACUUCUUAUUAUGUUGUAUGAUGAGUGCAAUUGUUAAACAUUCUUCGACUCUACACAUUUAAUUUAUUCUAAUUGCUGGAAUGUUUAAAAAUUGUAUCUUAUAUAAUUUAUAUUUUUAUCAGUUUGGAAUGCUAAAAUCCAUUGCCUGCGGAUUUACAUGUGGAAAUUGUUCUCUUGAUAAAGGUUCCUGUAGGUAUUCCUCAAACAUUGAUCAAAUGUUUCCUGCAAAUUUUGUAACAUUUCAUGCGAAUAUACCUUUCCUGCGGAUUCUAAAAUAUUAAAUAAACAAUUACCCACAAAGGUAUUAUCUGUGAACCUAAAACCUUGGCAAAAUCCGCAGUAAACAGUUUUUAUGCGGAAGAUUAACCAAAAUCCGCUGGUAAUUCCGCAGGAAAAUCGAGAGGAAUUAUAUUUGCUUUGUAUCUUUUUUACUCACUUGGUCAUUAUCUUUUUUUCCCCACUUGGGGUAUCUUUAUUCUCUUAUUAUGUUGUAUGAUGAGUGCAAUUGUUAAACAUUCUUCUAUUCUACACAUUUAAUUUAGGGUUAAUAGGGCUUUACCCCCUGUAAUAUAGGAUACUUUUGAUUUUCCCCCUUGUAAAUUUUUUUUUUUAGAUUCCGUCUUUGUAAAAUAAAGAUUCUUCAAGAUUGCUCCCUGAGCCCUGUGACUUAGCAGAAUCUAUGGUGUGGCAUUUUUUUUUUGGAUGCCAAGUGUAAAAAAGAAUUUACAUGUCAUUUAUAAUUAAAAAAAAUCUAUUUUUUUUUUAAAAAGCUAAAAUUAUUUUAAAAUCAGAAAAAAAAAAUACAAAUUCUUUUUCCAAAAAUUAAAAAAAUUGAAAUUUUUAUUUUUAAAAUGAAGUUCCAGAUUUUUUUUUUAAAAUACUUCCUAAUUUCAGAAAAAAAAAAAGAUUUUUUUUUUAUUUUUUUAAAUAAAAAAGAAAUUCGUAAAAUUUCAGGAAUAAAUUUUUUGAAUUCUUUUAUAAAUGCUAACUUAAUAUAUUUCCCGUCAAUGACAGGAAAAUCCAUAUGGUAUACCAUUUCCAUUCUUGAACUUAAUAUAUUUCCAAAUUUUCCAAAAAAAUUAUACUAAAUUUCAAAAAAAAUCCGAAUUAAAUUAAAAUUAUAAAAUUCGAAAAAAAAAUUAUUAUCUAAUUUUUUUGAAUUUGUAAAAAAUAUUUGAAUUUUUUUUCUAAUUAUUUAAUUUCAAAAAAGAAUUUAUUAAAUUUCUGAAAUAAAGAUUUUGAAAUAUAAAAUAUUUUUUUUAUUUUAAAAAUUAAAUCAAAAAAAAUCUGAAUGUUUUUUCUGAUUUAAAAAAAAUAUGGAACUUAAAUAUUUUUAAAAAUCUGAAUUUUUAAAUUUUUUUAAAAAUAUCUGAAAUUUUUUCGAUUUUUAAAAAGAAUAUGGAAUUAGGAAGUAUUUUAAAAAAAAUCUGGAACUUCAUUUUAAAAAUAAAAAUUUCAAUUUUUUAAUUUUUUGAAAAAAAAUUUGUAUUUUUUUUCUGAUUUUUCAAAUAUUUUUCGUUUUUAAAAAAAAUAGAUUUUUUUAUUUUUUUAAUUAUAAAUGACAUGUAAAUUAUUUUUUACACUUGGUAUCCAAACAAAAAUUGAAAAAUAAAAAAAAUGUCACAUCAUAGAUUCUGCUGAGUCACAGGGCUUAGGGGGCAAUCUUGAAGAAUCUUUAUUUUACAAGGAUAGAAUCUAAAAAAAAAAAUUUACAGGGGGAAAAUCAAAAGUGCCCUAUAUUACAGGGGGUAAAGCCCUAUUAACCCUUUAAUUUAUUCUUUUUUUUUUGGUCAACCACAUUUAAUUUAUUCUAAUUGCUAGAAUGUUUAAAAAUUGUAUCUUUUAUAAUUCAUAUUUUUAUCAGUUUGGAAUGCUAAAAUCCAUUGCCUACGGAUUUCCCUGUGGAAAGUGUUAUCUUGAUAAAGGUUCCUAUAGGCUUUCCUCAAACACUAACCAAAUGUUUCCUACGAAUUUUGCAACAUUUCAUGCAAAUGUACCUUUCCUGCGGAUUCUAAAAUGCUAAGGAAACAAUUUUUUUUUUUGACGUUCUAAGGAAACAAUUACCCACAAUUUAUUAAUAUGAAGCUGGACCACAAAGGUAUUAGCUGGAACCUAAAUCCUUGGCAAAAUCCGCAGGACAAUUUUUCUACGGAAGAUUCACCAAAAUCCGCUGGUAAUUCCGUAGGAAUUUGAGAAUGGUACAAAAUAUAUUUUCUCUCUUUAUUGUCACAAAAUGUUAAAAAUGACACUACUAGAAAAUUCGGUUUUAGCGACGGAUAUUUACGAGGGUGUAAAUUCUGUCGCAAAUUCUGACGGAUUUUGUGAGGGAUAUUCUUUUGAUGUCAUUAGCGACGGGUUUUGUGAGGGUUUCUCUCGUCGCAAAAUAACAGUUAUAGUUACCAUCAGAAAUGUGACAUUACGUAGUUUUGUGACAAACUCCCAAUAGAAUCAUAACUACUAACUUCUUCGGUCAAACUUCAAUUAAUCUUUGAAACAGUAGCCAUAUCUUAUUGAAUCCUGUUGUGUUUGAAGGUUCACAGACAUCUAGUCGUAAUUUAUGAUUUUUUUUGUUUUGCCUUUUUAUACUAGUACAGAUGAGAAUACUGCAAAUGUAGAUACACAAUAACAUUUUAAUAUGUCUAAAAUAACUUAUGCUUACUUUUCAAAUGCUAUACUAUAGCCAUGUCAUGUGCUAUAAUUUUUUAGAAUUCAGUUUAUCAAUGUGUCCAUGUCCUUUUGCACCCAUGUUGUAUACAUGCUUUCAAGGUGUCUCACUGGCACCACACUCCACUAUUAACUAUUAUGUUUUAUACAUUUGGUGUUUGCUUUCUGAUUGGGUUAUCAAGAACUUACAAUGUCUUUUUAUGAACUUUGAAGUAACGAGUACCAUUUUAAAUUUGUAAAAUCUACUUCUUUUGAGAUUACUAGAUGAUCAUGAUGGUAUUAAUUAACGUGAAAGUUCUUGAUUUCACAAUUUCUUUGGCUCUCAUUUUUUCAUCAAUAUAGGAGUUAAUGUUAAUUUAGUCCAAAAUCUGUUAAGAUAUGUGUCAUCUACUUGUGUCUCUGCAUGCUAGGUAUUAAAAUUGUAUUUGCUUCUUGGCUUUAUUUGUUUGUUUGUGUUGGUCUACUGGAGAAUAAUGCAUUUACCUUUCAAUGUUUUGUCCUAUAUGGUAAUCUGAUUAUGAUUGAAAUGCAAUUGCUGAAUCUAUAAACAGUAGACAUUUUUCACUCUAAUGUAUACAUUGAAGAACUCUUUCGGUCUGAUGUUCUUGUAUAAAAUUUUAUAUAUAUACUUUUGAAAAUGUAUAACAUCUUCAAACGAGCACCAUCAUAUUUUUUUUUUGGCAAUGAAGUAGAAAAUACAUAGCUGAUGUAGUGUCCUGCAGUAGCCAUAAUAAACAUGCAAGUUAUAAUUUAGGCUACCAAUGGAAAUAUAAUUUCAAGAACAUUGAAACACAACUUCUGAUAGUUAUGUAUAGCAGCUUUUUCGAAUUUUAGGAAGGCAUGUGAUCAAUGUGGAAGCCUAAAGAACACGACAAUUGCUCUUUUCGUCUUUGAAAUUGAUCUUUUUUUCAACUGUCGUCGGUACUUUUCUAGUUGUUCGACUGACUUUAAUAGUGUCCGGCGGUGGUUAACUGUUGCUGGGUCAACGGCAGUUGGAGAAAAAACAAUUUCAAAAGUGAAAAGAGUGAUUUUUAAUGAACAUAUAUGAUAGAGCAGAGCUAAUAAAAUAGAAUAAAUCAAUAGAAACAAGAGAAUAGUGGUGAAUAUUAAUAACUCACAAAAGAGUUACAAGUUCCAGAGCAAAGCUCCUAGUUUGAUGUCCGGUUUAUCCUAUAUUAAUUACAUUGCUUGUAUUGUAGAGGAUAUAUAAGUGGCUUCAUGAGCAUGAUCUAGACAUAAAGAAGAGUUAUCAUCAUAAGACAUCUGAUGGGUACCAAAAUACAAUGUAUCGGGUACGAAGAGGAAUGGACAAAGGCGAAUGGAUACCUGCUGUAUUGCGUGAAAAAUUGGAACAAAAUUGGGAAGAUAAUAAAUGGAAAAACAAGGAAGCAGUUAAUAAGCGAAAUAGAAGAUCCUCCAAUGGUCCAUUGCACACUUGUGUGCCAAUUCCAACAAUUGAACAUUCUAAAAGAUUAGUAAGUAAACAAAUUAUAUUUGCAGUAAAGCAUAGUGAUUUAAAUUAAUAAUAAUACUAAUCUAUUUAUUUUGUACUAUAGAAAACUGACUCAAACAUGACUCCAAGUUGUUGGGAAAUGUAUCUAAAGACACACAAAAUGAAAGGUGAUCCAUAAAAGUGGGUAUCCUGCAAAUCUCAAAUGGUUGCGGUAAGUUACAAUUCGAUGAUAUUAUCAUUUCCAUCCCUUUGUCAAAUGAACAUAAAACAAUUGAAAAUUUUCUAGAAUUAGUUAUAUCAUUUUGUGGACUUGGUAUGCUGGUGGAAAUUCAAGGUAAUUGGAUAAACUUUAAAAUUACUAUUUAUAAUUGUCCUCAUGUGUAUUGAUGCAUGCUGCUACACUAUAACUCUGCCAUCAUGUGCUAUAAUUGUUUUUGGUUAUCUAAUCAUGUAUAUUGUUGUAUAUUACAUGCUUUUGUGCCAUAAUUUUUAAUGUUAUGCAUGCUUAUUAUUGUUCAUCAGGUUCUGACAUCUGAACAUGAUAAUCUUAUGUUUCUUCACUUGGAAAGAAGUCAUGAUAACUUGGUUAUUAGUUAAAAGCUAGUUCUAAUUUGUUUAACUUGGUUAUUAGUUAAAAGCUAGUUUUAAUUUGUUUAACUUGUUAUUGGUUGGUUUAUAUAUGAAUUUAAUUGUAGUAAUUAAUUUAAUUUCAUAUUUUUGUACAUAAGAAUUAAGAUAAACUCUAAUUUUGAAGGAUGAAUAUGAAAGACGGAUUUUUGAAAGGAACUCACAACAAACAGAGGGGGAUGAUGUGUCUAAUGACCAUCAGUCAGACAACUUCAUCUUCUUGGACGUAGUUGGAGGAGUCGACAAGAAAGGACGUAUUUAUGGUUUGGGGACAGAGGCAGGAAAAUACAAGCCUUCUUAAUCCAGGUCAUCUGACGGCAUCUCACCAUCUGAAUAUAAGCCUAUGAGGACUGCAAUAUCUAAAAUGUCAGCUGAAAACAUGGAACUCAAGGAGCGAUUGAAGACUAACGAGAAAUUGAUUCGUGCAUCACAGGAGGAGUCACGUUUAGCUCGAGAGCAGGCACAACAGUCACAGGAGGAUUCGUGAUUGCUCCGAGAGCAGUUCUAGAAAUUUAUGGAAUCUUUUACACAAGGCCAUUUUCAUCUACCUCUUUAUCGACCUCAUCGUUCUUCGAGUUAGGAUCAACAUAUGUGUCCACCUACUUGAUUAUUUAUCAUAUUAUUUUGAAAAUUUGAUUAUAACUUUUAGUUUAAAGUAAAUGUUCUAAUACUAUUUAGUAAUUAUUUCAAUAUAUUUUGAUGCAAAAGAUAAGUAGUGUGAUUCUUGUGAACGCAAUCAAAAACGUUUUUCAUCAAAUAUUAAUGUGAUUUUUAUUAUAUUUUAUCAUAUUAAUGUAUUUUAUCUUGUGAUUUUUUAUCACCUUGUUUUAUAUUCCAAAAGUGUUUUGAGAAAUAAUUGGGAAAUUUCCUAAACUAAUUUUAAAGGAAAAAAAAAAAAAACUUAUUUGUGACGGAAAAUAUGAGUCACAAAAAUUUUGUCUUGGAGUGCAGCGUCAUUAUCAUAGCGACGCUAUUCAAAUUCCCAGAUAUUUUUCGACGGGAUAUUUCUCUCAGUUAUUUGCAACGGUUUUUUCCCUUAGUAAUUUGUGGCGGAUAUUUUUAACGUCGGUAUUUGGUGAUGGAAAACUGGGUUUCAUAUAUCCAUACUGUGAGAGGUUUAGCGACGGAGUUUUGGUGCUUCCGACCAAAUGCGAGCUGCCGCAAUGAAUGACGGAGUUGAUAUUUCGUCGGUCAAUUUUUCCGACACCCAUUAUUACGACGGAUAUUUGCAGCGUCGCAAAAUCCCACUACUAGAAAAUUCAGUUUUAGCGACGGAAUUUUGUGAGGAUUUAAUUUCCGUCGCAAACAUUGACGGAUUUUGUGAUGAGUACUCUUUUGAUGUCAUUAGCGACGAAUUUUACGAGGGAUUCUGUCGUCGCUACAUAUCCGUCAUAAAUUCCUUCAGAAAUGUGACAUUACGUAAUUUUGUGAGGGAUUUAGCGAGGGUUUUAUUCCAUCGAUAAGUAUUCCGUUACAUAUUCCGUCGCAGAUUCCCUAAAUGGUUUGCGACGUCCUUGGAUGCCGUCUCAAAGAGAAUUUCGCCUUUUUUUAUUAAAUGAUGAAAAAAUGUGAUUUAAUUAAAACUUAUUUAUAGAUGAGAUGAGACUUGAACCCGCGACCUUGGAACUGCAACCAAGGAAACUUACCACCAAGCCAUCAUGACUCAUUUGUUAUUUCUUUUAAUUGUGUUUUACUAGUACUAAGUUAUUUUAGGUUUUUUUUUUUUUUGUUGAAAAUCUUUCCUUUUCUUCCACUAACAAACACAUGACCCCACUAAUUUGCAUUUUUUUCCUUCAUUUUUACUUAUUUUUUAUUCAAAUCUAAAUUUAGCUUAAAUGUAUUUUUUGUCUUCUUAUUUACAUAUUUUUGAAGUUUUAAUACCCUUAUUUCAAAAACCAACAUUUUGAUCCUCUAUUAAGAAAGUAAACGGAUAUUUUUGGUACCCCAACAUCUUCAUUGAUGUGACGCUUACUUGGCACAAUGAUUUGAAAAAUAUAUUUUUAUUUUACUUAUAUAUUACAAUAUUAGUAUUCAUUAUAAAAAUUUCUUCAACAAAUCUUCAUCUUCAACAACCAACAACCACAUACACAUUUGGGGGUUGAGUUUUAAGAGUGCUGAUGAUGGAUUCUAAUUAAUCUUGUGUUAGUGUUGAAUGUUGAUGGAAAAGAUGGAGGCAGUUAUUUUAAUUAAUUUAUAAUAUAAAAAUAAAAUAAAUAAUAAUAUUAAUGAAUAAGAAUGACAUGGAAAAUAUUUUUUAUACCUGAUUAAUACACGGCCAGCAUCAUGUCAUUAACAGGAUGUGACAUCAUCAAAAUUUAUGGGGGAUCAAAAAAAAUUGUUGACUUCCUUAAUAUAGGGAUCAAAAAAUUGGUUUUUAAAAUAUGGGAUUAAAACUUCAAAAAUGUUCGACCAAAAAAAAAAACUUCAAAAAUGUGUAUAUAAAAAACCCUUAAAAAGAAAAUUAUAUCCGUUACACCACUAUUAUAAAAAAAAAUUAAAAUAAAAGAAAAAACAAAUAGGAAUAGUUGGACAACUUGCACCAUUUUCUACCCACCCAACCUUUCUUUUAUUCUUAUUAUUUUUUAACAAGCAAUGUAAAAUUUAUAAUGUUAAUUUUUCCAUUUUGAAAUUAUUAUCAAAUUAUUAUCAAAUGUGGUAGAAAUUUAAGUUAAUACGAAUAAAUAAAUAUUUUAUAAUUUUUUUAAGGAUUGUAAUUAAAUAUUAUGAGGUAAUUUAUAAUUUAAUUAAUAAAUUACUUUUGUUUAAUGAUGCAAAGUUAGUGGGGCAUAUUUAAGUACUUUUUAUUUGAGUCCUUAUUAGUGUAUUGUCAUUGGAGUCAUUGAGUCUUUAAUAAGUACUUUUAUUAAUAUAUUAUAAAUAAGUGACGUGUAACGUGGGGUCCAUUUAAGGAGUCUCUAUUAAGGAACUACCAUUAUGGAUGCUCUAAAGGAUUGAAUGUGAAAAAUGUGAAUGUGAAUUUACUCAUGAAUUUAUGUUUCAAUAUCACUUUAUUAUUAUUGUACAAGUAUCAUGCUUUAAACUUUUUUUAUCUGAAUUAGAUUGUGAUGGUAAAUGUGAAAAAUGCAAAAAUGAGAGAGUUAUUGAAACGCACUGUUUAACUUGUAAAAUAAAAAAUUAAUAAUAAUUAAAAAAAUUAAAUUUAUGAAACUAGUAAUAAAUUAUCCAUCGGUAAUUUACUAAACUAUAUAGGACAAUUCUUGUCCAUUUUUUUUUUUUUUUUACUAUUUUGCCCUGAUGAAAGUAUUUUGGUAAAUUAGUAAAUAGUGACUUUCCCAUAUAGAUUUUAAAAGAAUUUUCCCCAUUUCAUUCUUGAGUAGUGAUAUUUGUACAUCCAAUUGAUGACAACUUUGGUGACAACCUUGUUUUUUUCUCUUCUUAUUGAUCAAAAAACAAUGAAGAAAGAAAAAGCGGUAUCUAAGAGAAAGUUGUGCAAAAGUUGUCAAAAGGGUUGUACAAAUAUCAUUUCUCUUUGUUCUUCACUUCUCUUUCUAAGAAAACCCUCCCUCUCCCUCUGUUUUCUCUUCUUCCCUCACGUGUUCCUCCAUCCUUCACCUCAAUUUAUCUAAUUCUUCUCAAAUCAAGUAGAAAUCAACAUUCAAUCCCAUCUUCACACUCUAAUUGGCAAACUAAACUAGAAUCCAACUUUAAAUUUCUUCCCCUCCCUUUUAUUCCUCUCAGUCGAACCCUCUUUAAGAAAGAAAAUUGGAAAAGUUCAUUGUUUAAGCUCAUCAAAAACAUUGCAUGUGAAGCCUGGCUGAUUUGUUGUGUUGUUUGGUUGCUGCAAGAGCUUGGGUACUAACUACUGACUAUGGGUGAUUCAUUCUCUAAAGGAAGUAGUUGAAGUGGAAGGUUGAGAGAAAGCUAGGGCUUUAUCAAGGACGUUGAUGCAUAAACUAAAAGUUGAUAUUUAAGCUAAACUAAGUUGUUCUAAGACUAGGGCUGGUACAAAGAUUAUGGAUGAUCAAAAAGGGUUUCAAGGGGAUAUUAGAAGUGGUUUUUGCUGCUAUUUGGAAUGAGAACAUGUAAACAGAAGCAAGAAUCAAUGAUUAAGGUAUGAAUUUUUAAGCUGUUUGGACAUGUUCUGAUAUUUGGGUUGUAUCAUUUAGUGUGUAACUGUUUUUUUCUCUCUUAAAUGAAGGGUGUAAAGAAUUAAAAAGAGUUAUGUCANGAAAAUUUGAUUAUAACUUUUAGUUUAAAGUAAAUGUUCUAAUACUAUUUAGUAAUUAUUUCAAUAUAUUUUGAUGCAAAAGAUAAGUAGUGUGAUUCUUGUGAACGCAAUCAAAAAGGUUUUUAAUCAAAUAUUAAUGUGAUUUUUAUCAUAUUUUAUCAUAUUAAUGUAUUUUAUCUUGUGAUUUUUCAUCACCUUGUUUUAUAUUCCAAAAUUGUUUUGAGAAAUAAUUGAGAAAUUUCCUAAACUAAUUUUAAGGAAAAAAAAAAAAAAACUUAUUUGUGACGGAAUAUAGGAAAGUCACAAAAUUUUUAUUUUGCAGUAUUGCGUCGGAUACCACUGCGAUGCUAAUCAAAUUCCCAGAUAUUUUGCGACGGGAUUAUUCCCUCAGUUAUUUGCAACGGUUUCCUCCCUCAGUAAUUUGUGACGGAUAUAUUUAAAGUCGGUAUUUUGUGACGGAAAACUGGGUCACAUAUACCCAUAAAGUGGGAGUCUUAGCGACGGAAUUUUGUUCUUUGCGACCGUAUCUGAGCCGCCGCAAUGAGUGACGGAGUUGAUAUUCCGUCGGUCAAUUUUUCCGACCCCCAUUAUUACGACGGAUUUCCGGAGCGUCGCAAAACCCGUCACAAUGUCGUUUGCUACGAAUUUUAAUCAUUGGCGACGGAAAAGGGCCGUCGCUAAAUCUGAGUUUUUUGGUAGUGUCCGUCAGAAUGUCGUUUGCUAUGGAUUUUUGACUACUUUGCGACAGAAAAUGGCCGUCGCUUAGUCCGAGUUUUCUAGUAGUGUGAAAUGAACUUUUUUUUUUGAAGGAAAAAGUAUUGUGAAAAGCAAGUUAAAUCAUAUCCUAUUUUUAAGAUGUAAAGAGAGAAAAAAAUAUGUUUGAAACUCCAAAGUUCGUUUAUAAUCUGAUUCUACUUAUUUCCAUAUUUCUUUUCAUAAUAAUAUGUAAUUCUACUUAUUUACCAACUACUCGUAUUUGUUGAACAUAUAAAGAUUGUCCAAGUGUAAAAAAUUAUAUUGGUAGGUGUCGUAAAAGCUACUGCCAAGCGAGAAAACUGAGAUGAAUGAGUUCUUGCUCUAGAAAAAGAAUUGCAAUUUCUUUUAUGCUAGAAUAUU